GAACCGUGACAGUCCCUGCAAGCGGGCACUAAGCACAGCCUCUGGUCCCUAGGAAAAGCUUAGAAAAUAUAUUCAUGAGAGAGAGAAGGCUGGCACCUAAACUAAUGUAAGAUGACUGAGGGGCUGAAGAAAGAAAGGAAGAGCACUCUCCAGGAAGAGGAAGCGUGUACAAACCCCCAGAGACGAGAGGAGGCAAACGGAGGGACAUUUGGAAAACAGCAAGAACCUCAGCCCACGCCCAUUACACCCUUUAAGGUAAGCGUAAAUUGGACACUAAGCUUCCAGUCAAAGUGGAAAAGAGAGCCAAGGUCAUCUGGACAGCUGGUAUUGACAGAGAAGAGGAAGUGUACCAUGCUGUCAAAGAAACUGUUUAAACACACAAUUCAUUGUUGUCAGCUGUGGUCGCCCUACUAUGCAAUAAAAUACUAGAAUCUAUCUUUUCUAUCUAACUGUAACCGUGUGCAAGUUAACAGGCUGCCCUCUCCUCAUCUGCUCCUCUCUCCCCCUCCCCAGUGUAUGUGUGUGUGUUAUACUUUUUUAAAAUUUUAAAUUAAGUGUAUUGGUACAUUUCAGGUAUACAAUAUGAUGACAUUCAUAUUGGUAAUUUGUACCUUUCCAUAAUCUAUCUUGGUUCUUAUUUUUUCCCCAUCCCCCUGCCUUCCCUUCAGCCCCUCCACCCUUCCCUAUAUACUUUGUUUCCAUUUUUUCAUUUUCUCGUAUUUAUUUCUUACCCUCUUUCAUUUCCCCAAUCCUUUCCAUUCCCCCUCCCCUUUGGACCUUUCCUUCCUAUUUCACAUUAUCUACGAUACCUUUUGAUCCUUACACUUUCAGUUUCUCACACCAGAGAAACUAUUCAGUAUUUACACGUAUGUCCUAUUUAUUUCACUUAAGAGUAUUGCCUCGAUGUGCAUCCAUUCAGCUAUAAAUGUCUCUAAUUUCUCAUUCUUUAUGGCUGAAUAGUACUUCAUUUUUUAAAAAAGACACAUUUUCUUUAUUCAGUCUCCAGUUGAUGCGCAAUUGUACUGUUUCCAAGUUUUAGCCAUUACAAACCGUGCCGCUAUAAACAUGGGUGAGCAUAUAUCACUGAGGUAUGAUGCUUUUAAUUCUUUUGGGAAGAUACCCAGCAGGGGAAUAGCUGGGUCAAAUGGGACCUCUAAUCCUAGUUCUUUGAGGUAUCUCCAUAAUGAUUUCCACAGUGGCUGCACCAGUCUGCACUCCCACCAACAAUGGAGAAGGGUUCCUUUCUCCCCACAACCCCGCCAACAUUUGUAAUUGGUUGAUUUCUUGAUAGCAGCCGUUCUUUCUGGAAUGAGGUGGAAUCUCAGCACUGUUUUCAUUUACAUCUCUCAAAUGACCAGUGAUGUUGAAUGGUUUUUCAUAUGUUUAUUUGGUAUUUCUACUUCUUUGUCUGAGAAAUGUCUGUUCAUUUCUGUCCCCAGUGUAUUUUAAAAUAACUACAAGCUGGAUGUGGUGGUGCACACCUGUGAUCCCAGCACUUGAAGGCUGAGAGGCUGAGGCAGGAGGAUUGCUCUGAUUUCAAGGCCAACCUGGGCUACAUAGUGAGUUCAAGGCCAGCCUGAACUACAUAGCAAGACCCUGCCUCAAAAAGUUAAAAAUAAAUAAAUUAAUGAAAUCAAAUAGCUACAAUGCAGGAUUUAGAAUAUUUUCACCAUAAAAAAUCAUUAUUAUAAGGUGCUAAAUGUGCUAACGACUCUGAUUAGCUCAUUACACAAUAUAUACAUGUUUCAAAGCAUCACAUGGUGCCCUACAAGUUGUACAGUUACUAUGUGUCAAUUAAAAAUUCACAAAUACGGACACACGUGUGUGGCCCUUGGCUAGUGAAGUUCUAGCCUGGCUCUUCAAACUGAACUGCUUCCCACCUUACGGCACCCUGUUCUUCUCUCCCAAUGCCACACCUUGGUUGAAGUUCCUAUAUUUACCUGCCUUGCAAACACCCAUCAUUCAAUACGCUACCCGAAUUUCAAAACCCAGCAUAAGAUGCCUGAUGCCCAUGAAGGUAUCGCCGUCUUCCCUGGUCUUCCCCAGAGUCAUUUCUCUGCCUUGUUUCCCCUUCUUUCACAGCUCUCAUCACAUUGUUACGUGUUGUAAUUCAACACAUCUGUGUCUCCUCUUAGUGAGGUUGGAUAGCCUAGUGGUUAAAGUGACCACACAGGCAUGAAACUCCCUGGCCUCCUCUUUCUCGUCAGUACCUGUGUGACCCCAGGCAGUUACCUAAUCUCUCUAAGCUCCAGUUCUUCCAUCUGGAGGAUGUGAAUUCAAAAAGCAUCGCUCUUGUUCUCUUAGCACAGUCUGGCACCUGGUAAGCAGUGGCCUUUGAAUCACUCACUCCCUGGUCCUCAUGUCACCCCCCAUGGAUGUCUAAGGCAGUGGCCGUGGCCACAGGUAGAUCCUCAAACCCAAAUGAAUUAUAAUAAAAUGUAAAAGUCAUUCAUCAGUGGUACUAGCCCCAUCUCAAGUGCCUCCUGGCACCAGUGGCUCCCCUAUUAGAUUGUACAAGGAAGAUACCCAUCGUCACAAGAAGGUUCUACUGGACACUGCCACCCUAGAGCAGGGAUCCUCAGCUCUUUUAUGGAGAAAGCUAGAUACAUAAUUACUUUAGACUUUGUGGCUAUAAGGUCUUCGUGGGAGUAUUCACCUUCACUACUGUAGCAUGAAAUAAUCAUAGGCAACACAUAAAUCAAUGAGCAUGGUUGUGUUCCAAUAAAACUUUAUUUGAAAACUUUAAAUGUCAUCUAAUUUCACAAAUCACAAAAUAUGCUUCUUUUGAGGUCCCCCACAUACACACUUAAAAAUGUAAAAACUGCCAGAUGUGGUAGGACAUAUCUGUAAUCCCAGCAUUCAAGGUGGCUAAGGCGGGAGGAUCACAAGUUUGAGCUGUCUGGGCAACCUAGUGACUUGGUGAGACCCCAUCAAAAUAAAAAAUAGUUCAAUGUGAAGACCCUGCGUUCAAUCCCCAGCACAGAUGGAGGAGGAAAAGAAGGAGGGAGAAGAAGAGGAGGAAGAGAAAUGCUGACUUUCUCCAGUAGUAAUAAAAGCUAAGAAAGUGGAAUUUCUACCCUAGGGCCACAAGAAAGAAAAAGAAGGGCAGAGGAUUUAGCUCAGUGUCACCACUCCUGCCUCACAAGGUCCUGAAAUCGAUCCCUGGAACUACCAAAAAAAAAGGAAAGUUUGGAGCAACUUGAUUUUAGCCUAGUGAUACCCAGUGAGGAGUUUCAACCUCCAAAAUUCCAGGUGAUACAUCCAUUUUGUU
ensembl:lincRNA